CGACAUGGGGUAUGGCCGCGAGGGCUGAGGGGGACACAGCCCCCAGGGGUGAAGGUUGGAGGCGUCGUGAGACAGAACAGAGAACCAGCCCUGAGGACUGAAGGGGACUCUAUUCCAAAGCACAAAUGGGAGACUGAGGAGGCGAGAACACUGCGAUGCCCCACAAUACUGCACGUGCUUCUGAGAUGCUGAAUCAAUGCAGCUGGAGACACCACACACCUCACUUUCAUCCUCCCACCAGGGAAGGAUAUGUCCUUGACACAUGGAGGCUGGCAGGACUUUCAGAAGUUACUCAGCUCCCUGGACACAUCUACUGCCAUGAGAUGUCUCAGCCAAGGAUUUGGAGCCAAGAUAUGAAGGAAAUGCUUUAACCAGAUGUGUGCCCAUGCCUGUGACACUGAACUUUCAGAUGCUGGUAUUUAAAAAGAUUGCCAUCUCCCCUGCCUCCCAGCAGCAAGGGAAGACUGAAGCCAUAGAGCAUGGAAUCCAGCCCUUCUAACUACCCAAGGGCAGUAAAAACACCUACAGCUGCUCUGGAGCACUGGAACUUCCAGUUGUAUAUGUUUUCAGGGCACAAGCCAUCUCAGGAAAGCUGCUUUUCAAAAGGUAUUUGUGAUAUAUAUAUUAUGGAAGUAUUUCACUUCCCCUCCAUGUGACCACCUACAUGCUUCGAUAGAAAGCAAAUCCAGACUUCAAAGCAUCUGACAGGAGGCAGGCAGGCCUUGUUUCGUCAUCCAUCCAAGAAAGAAGCUGCAGCACAGAGUGGCAAGGCUUCCCCAGAAGUUUGGAAGUUAACCUCUAGGACACCCUUGUGCAGAGAUGGCAGCAGAAGGAGGCACAGCAAUGUGGCUGGGAAGCACUGUGAGGAGCUAAGACAGUUUGGUUGGGACACUGGAAGUAGGACUGACAGCUCUGCUUUCUCAGGAAGGUCCUGCAGAGAUGGUGUGGUCUGUUCCCUCACUGCAUAUCAGCAGGAGCUGGGCAGCUCAAUGCUCUGAAGUCUGUCAGCCUUCACUCUGUGGGCCCUCACAGAUUGGCCAGUCUCUGUUCCCAAAACUGUACAAAAGUGGAGUUUAGUGGGGUGACUGCUCAUCUCCUGGAGAGAGGAACACUGACCCUUCAGCAGCAAUACUCAAAUGACCACUGGUGACAGAAAUUAACUCAGAACCUGCUCUGUGACUGAUCCCUCCUACAAGGUUAACAUCUUCUUUCUGAGUUCAUUAAAAUCUUAUGCCUCCUUCCCCAAAGGAAAGAAAUGUCAAUACAUGAGAGAGGAAGAUAAGUUAAUGCUACAUUCAGGUUGCAGAGCUAGAGAUUUUGGAACUGCUGAGGUAAGAUGCCUGUGUCGGUGCUAACUCAGCCACAUUGCACACAGACUGCACAGCAGCCUUGUUUCACCGGUCAUGAGCAUAGAUUAAUGCAGUUACCUUUAUCAAAAUAUAUCCCAAAGUAAAGCCUCUUGCUAACCUGUCACACUGUGGGUCAAUGUUUACACCAUGGUGGCACCUGUAUGUGCUCAGGGAGCUCCAUGCCCAGCACUGCAGCUCCCUUCACCCAUGGGACGUGGAUUUACUGAGAGCAGUCUGGAGUAGCUGCAAGCCCACUAGCACUUCCUGGAUGGCAAAGGAGAUUUUAGCUGAGAAAGUGCUUUUAUUAUUGUAAAAAAUUAAUGCAAAAUGUCAAAUAUUUCACACCCAAGCCGAUACUGGCAAAAUGCCAGAAAUAUUUGGGUUUCGCUUGGGGUGUGAAUAUAGUUGAUCAUCUGUAAUUCAAAAGCUUUUAUUUCAAAGGAAAGAGACAGUGUGUUGCAAUAGACUUUGCAGUGAUAAAUAUCAACUGUGCCACUUCUCUCCCAAAAGGGAUUUCCCACAGUUCUAUAGUAAUAUACAGUUCAAAAGGCCACACUGAGAUUUAUAGAGCUAUACAUUCAAAAACUGGCAUCCGAGGCGCUUUGCUCAGCUAAAGCAGAUUUGACUUGUAGCCCUCACAGUUCUGCACAACUCAGAAAGCAGCCACAGGUCCAGGUGCCAGCAGGCCUGAGUGAUUGGUGAAUGUGGGUGCUUGGGUCACUCAAAUCUGUACAGGCAGUUAAUCUAGAGAGUCCUCAGUUCUGUGACCAGAUACUCUGCAAGCUUCCAAAUGUUCUUGGCCAGCACAUCUGGUCAGAUUGGAGUAAAUGGACAGAAAUUAAUUUAAAUCAAGACAGUUAGAGCAACUGAUGGCAGCAGCGAAUUUAGCCCUCUCCAUGCAUGUAUUAUAAUUACAAAAUUAUCUAUUUUCCUUCUUUUCUAUUCUAUUCCUGUUUAAUCUAUCAUCUAUUCCAUUCUCUUUAAAGCCCCAACCACAUUCUAAUCCACUUGCAUAGCAAUAGUUUUUGCUUAUGAAUGUCCACUGAAUGUCCCAAAACACUUUCUAUGAAGACAUAGGAAAAUUAGAGAAAAUUACAAAGAAAAACAACUUUAUAGACUUGUCUGAAUUCUCAACUUCAUAUAAUGAAUCUGCAUUGACCCAUUAGUGUUCUGCAUAUCUUCCAUUGUUUGAAGAUCUACAGAUAAAUGGAGUAUCUGUCUCCACUAUUUACAGACUUCCCAUCUAAUUUUAGCUGUGAGUCCUGAAGGACCUUGAGGUGUGGGAAUUUGGGAGCCAUGUGGAAAUGUUAGAUUUCUUAAAUGGAUGGGCAAUAACUUUCAGCGGCAAAUAUGUGAAUUCAAGCCUCUGUAAACAAAAGCACCUAGAUUUUCAGACAUUGGAACAACAUUCAGAAGAGCAACAGGAGUUUUGUAAUUGAAGAACUUCACAAGAAUUUCAUGCACAAAAAGCAAGAUAUAAACCAGGGCUGCAUAACAUCUGACCAAGAGCUUGUGUUGCCUGCCAAGAACUUUCUUUGACCCAUCAGGGUGCUGUAGCAAACAGCCCUCUCUGGUCUGCCUUCUUACCAUAGUCCACAGCUGGGAUGGCACCAAGCCUGCUCAGCACUGGCACACGUGGAAAUUUGGUACCUCUCAGCCAUUUAAUUAGCUGAAAAUCAGGAAUGAUUUUUCCUCUUGGUUAGUAGCUGCAUGGCAUGAAGAGCUGUCAUCCAUCCCAGAGUGAAUGUGUCUGCAAAAGGCACAUAUGGAAAUGGGGGGUGGCUGCUCUGCUCAAUUUAGCACUUGUGAGACUCGAGCCAGAUUGCUGGAUCUCGUCUGGACCCUGCAUCUGAAAAGAGCAAACGUGGGGAGGCAGCAACAGAGAGGGAGAGCUAAAGCACCAAGAGAUUGAGAAAACAUGACCUGCGAGGAAAGGCUGAGAGAACUGUCUUCAUUAAAUUUGGAAAAGUAAUGAGGGAAGCUGCAAGACUCCAAACAUGUAAAUGGUGUUUCUAUUUUUUAUUUGCAUUUUAAAAUCAUGGCUCCUUAGGUACACUAACACAGGAUAAGAGAUAGUGGGCUAAUUUAUAGCUAAUUUAUAGCAAAGGGUACUAUGUUAAAUAGUGAGGCUUCCUUUCUGAGUGUGUGGAUAUUUGCAGAGGAUAAACACAAUCUCCUGUUUCCAUAUAUAUAUAUACAUAUAUUUAUCUCCUGAAACUGGUACGGUCUUGGUUUCUAACAUUAUGAAUUAAGCCUUUCAUGAAAACUCCAAAGUAAUGAGACAAUUUGUGUUCAUAAUCAUACUUAGAAAAAGACAUUUUAGAGGCGUGUCACCCUCAAACCCACAGUAAGCAAUUCUUUAUCUGCAUUUGGCAGAAAAAUCAGAUUAUCUAAUUAUUUUAUGAACGUGUCAGUGUUGUCCCAUUCCACCUCUCACAUAUAUGUUGGCUGAUCUAUUCUGAUUAUGCCCCAUUAGAAUCACAAUAGUACCUGGUUUCCAACACACACAGCACCACUUGAAAGAUACACACUGAUAUUGGGAAUAAUGUGUAAAAUAGUUAUUGUCAUAAAAUUGAGCUGAUUCUCACUCCUCAGCAGCACAGUCACUACUUUCACAGUGACUCUGAACAUUUGAAGCUGGGAAUUGAAAUAAAAAUUAAACUUCUUACAAAAUUUGCUUUACAAAAGAAGUUUGGCAUUUUUAUUCAAUCUUUAUUAAAAGCCAUCCAAGAAAAAUACCAAGAACCUAGCAUUGCAGGAUAAAUCAUAUUGGGCACAGAUGAGAAACGUACAGAGAUUAAAACAAAUUUGCCACUGUUCCAGGCACUGAGGAUGAAUCUUGGUCUGACUGAACUUGCAAAUAACAGGCCCCUGGAUUUCAAUGAGAUAAUAAUUUGAUCCAUGCCAUUGCUUCUGUCUCUUUCUUUGAUAUUUCCGUAAUUGCCUCUUCUUCUUUUAAUCCAAAACAACUGAGACAGAAAGGAAAAGACACAUAUGUUUUUAUAAGAAAAGGGCAAUACAUAACAUUAAAAAAAUGUUUCAUCAAAGGUGCAACCAUUUAAAAUGCAAAACAGAGACUAGAGAGGUGACAAAUUCAAGUUCUCAGUGUUUUUAUUUAAGAUCUUUCAAGUAUUCAUUUGCCAGGGAUACUUGUUUAAUUUUUUUAAUGUAUUCAGUUAGUCAUAUUCGGUUCUCUUUUAUGUCCAGUUCUCAUGAAUCACUUGACAGAUGGACUUCUGCAAGCACAUCCCUUUGGGGAAAGUAAAUUUUAAGUGAUAAUAGGAACAUGAGACAUGCCAUCCUGGAUCAGAGCAAAGGUCUAUCUCGUCCAUACCCCAGAUCCACCAGUAGCCAAGAGCAGUGUAUUAGAUUUUAACCAUAAUAACUUUGAUCUUCCAGUGAGUAUUAAGCUGGUGACUCAGCAGAAAAUCAAAAGGGAUCCCAAGAGCAGAACAUUCCCAAACUCAGGAGAAAGAGCAGAGUCAGAGCUCCACUUGUUCCAGUGAGAUUGUAGUUGAAAGUUCUCAAGAUUUAGUUCAUCUUUAAUUGCUGCUGUCUCAAUUAAACUGCAUCUGUGAUAAUAACAGCCCCCCGGAGCCCCAACAGGAAUUUAAACACGCUGAGAGUAUGAGGUAUAAUUGAUGAAAUUCUGUCUGGAAAGAAAUCCCUGCUGCUUCUCCAGGAGUGUAGAACAGCGUGUCCUGACUGGUAAGUGCCCCCAGGUGAGGUCCAGCACUGGGAGCACGACUGCAGCCCUUGGUCAGGCACAAGAUGCCCAGGAGUGUUGGCACCAUCAGAUCUGCUGUGCAUCCAGCCUAGCCCAGGCACUGCAAGGAUCCAGGGUACUGCCAGCAGCUGGGUGAGGUGUGCCCAGUUCUGGGUAAACUUCUCAGACACUGCUGUAAAAAAUUAUUUCAACAUUAAGUGUCAAUUUGUGGGGACAGCUACACUCAACACCAAUUUCUUAAGAGCUGGCUGGGCUGUUGUUGUUAAAUUCUUGUGUUGUUAAAGGAAAUGUGGGUUAUCUUAUGAUUAUCCCAGCUACUUCUGACACUCUCUUACAAGCUGUAAAUUCAUGGAUUAAAACUACAGAUAGUAAUUUCAGAAUUCCCUGUGCUGUUUCUAAUACUCUCUGGUGUUUGGUGGCUCUGUGUCUCAAUGCAGGUAUAGAGGAGGGACAGAAUAAAUGUAUUGGGGGGAAAAAAUCUGUAGAGAACACUCAAAGACAUAUGGUAGUCUUGGAAAACUGUGCAGUCAAAUAAAGAUGAGCUAAAGAUAUAAAUAGAGUUUUGGCAAAUAAAGAAAUCAAGAUAGUAUCUGGAGCAGCUUGUUUUUCAUAUUUGUAGACAUCUGGAUAACCAGUUGUAAGAACUCUUCUUCCAAGUUACCAUGGUAUCAGAUUUAGGUAUUUAUACAUUUCACAAUCAUAGAAUCUGAACUAGUUCUUUUAUCAGAUGUCAGCAUUUCUAAAUCUUCCUCACCAUGAAGCAUCCCACUUCAGCAGCACAUCAAGAAUCCUCAGAGUGCCUCUGCAGCUUCUGGAUCUGAACAAGCUGUGCCUGCCUGGCCCGUGUGUAACUUCACCCAGGCAGCACAGGCUCUCUUUGCAUCUCUGCACUGCUGCCCCACGAGGGUCUGCCUCUUUCAGCUUCCUCUGAGUCCAUUUUCCUGGAGUAAAUUAAUGCAAAAAGCUUUACAUACCUAACAGAAUGAAGUUAUCAUGAUCAUAAAAUAUAUUUAAUAACUAUUUACAAACCAUUUCAUAAUAUGUAUGAUGUUUCCUAUAGGUGCAGUGUAGCUUAUUUCAUUAACAAAUGUUGAUUGAGUUUGGUAGCAAUAAGCACUAUAUUAAUGUAAAUAUUGAUUAGCAAAUAGCUUAUCCAAGGGCUAAUUUUAAGAUUAUAAUCCUGUGCUUCAUAAUUAAAAACUUCUGUUU